AUGUUCCCAGAUGCCGGUGCAAGCCCAUACUUCCUACAAAAUCAGCAGCAGCUGUUCCAUGGAAUCAAUGGCAUUGGAGCGGACGCCGCCUUCGCCGGAGACGGCGGGCUGGCGGUGCCGGUGCCCGACACCCACCGCAGCGCCCUGCUGUACAACCUGUCCGUGCUCAAGGACAAGGUGCAGCAGCUGGAGCCGCUCGUCGGCCUCGCGGUCGGUCGCGGCCACGGCCACGUCGUCGACCCCGUGCUGCCCGGAGCCAGCGCCGUCGUCCAGGAGAUCAUCACCGUGGCCACAUCCAUGCUGUACGCCCUACAGCACCCUUACGGCCUCAGCGCGUUGACAACAUCCGGUUAUGACGCGGCCACGCGGGAGGGUGUGGUCGACGGCCAUGCAAAGAACGGCGCAGCGGAUGAUGACCAGGAGGCCAUGGUGGAUGCCAUGCGGCAGUGGCAGCAGCAGCACCAUGGUGGCGGCCACGACAUCCCCGGAAACUCCGCGGAGGCGGCCGCCGUGUCAUCUCCGACGCAAGCGACGACGGCCUCGGCGGUGGACACGACGAUCAUCGAGUUAGACGCGGCCGAGCUGCUGGCCAAGUACACGCACUACUGCCAGGUGUGCGGCAAGGGGUUCAAGCGCGACGCCAACCUGCGCAUGCACAUGCGCGCGCACGGCGACGAGUACAAGAGCAAGGCGGCGCUCGCCAACCCGACCACCAGGCUGUUCGCGACCUCCGGCGAGGACGCCGCCGACGCCGCGGGGAGAUCAAGGAACAGCAAGUACUCGUGCCCGCACGACGGGUGCCGGUGGAACCGGAGGCACGCCAAGUUCCAGCCGCUCAAGUCGGUCAUCUGCGUCAAGAACCACUACAAGCGCAGCCACUGCCCCAAGAUGUACGUCUGCAACCGCUGCAACCGCAAGCACUUCUCCGUCCUCUCCGACCUCCGCACCCACGAGAAGCACUGCGGCGACCACCGCUGGAUAUGCUCCUGCGGCACCACCUUCUCCCGCAAGGACAAGCUCGCCGGGCAUGUCUCCCUCUUCGCAGGCCACCAGCCCGUCGCGCCGCUCGCUGCCGGCAGGCACGGUAAGAGAUCCUCGUUAUUGUCCACGUCCUCCUCCGACCUUGUUGGAAACUGCGCCACCACCGGCUUCUCCAUUACAUGA
rnacentral:rRNA from 1 species